rnacentral:rRNA from 1 species
UAGAAUGAGCCUGCGACUUAUAGUAUGUAGCAAGAUUAAGAGGUAAUAGCCUUGUAGUCAUAGUGAAAGCGAGCCUUAAGAGGGCGAUUUAGUUGCAUGCUAUACGACCCGAAGCCAAGUGAUCUACCUAUGAGCAGUGCGAAACUCGAGUAACAUCGAGAGGAGGUGCGAACCAGUGGCCGUGAAAAGGCUUUGGAUGACUUGUGGGUAGGAGUGAAAGGCUAAUCAAACUUGGAGAUAGCUGGUUCUCGCCGAAAUGUCUUUAGGGGCAGCGUUAUGUGUUUACUUGCGGGGGUAGAGCACUAAAUGGACUAGGGCUCCUAACCGAGUACCAAACCCCUGGGGUCUUUCCGUCUUGCCGCGGGUAGGAGGAAUUUUCACCUCCACUACAAUUUCACUGAAUCUCUCUUUGAGACAGCUCCCAUCUCGUUA